GUAUUCUUCGCGGRWGAUUCGCGCUCAAGCCCAUCUGCGACGUCGUUGCUUGCUGCUUCUAUAGGGAAGCCGCUGGCUCGUCCCGGACUGUCGCGCAGAAUUGCCGCGCACCGGAUUACCAAGCCACGGACUUCCGUGGCUUUUGU
rnacentral:ncRNA from 1 species